rnacentral:lncRNA from 1 species
UCCUCCGAAUGGGAGGGCCGCUGUCCUUGGUGACAAUUGGAGACCCCAAAAGUUGGGAUUAGACUUUAGAGAGGAAUUCUAGUCCUAGACCCAAGACAUCCGUAUUUUGUAGGGAUUUUGUAGGGAACACUUCUCUGUGUAAAGAAAACGUGUUAUUAGCCAUGCAUCAUGCAAUUUUUUUAGCCAUAUAUCGAACGGAGACGCUUCAACAUAGUGCUCUAUUAAAAAAAAAAAAAAAAAAAAAAAAAAAAAUAUAUAUAUAUAUAUAUAUAUAUAUAUAUAUAUAUAUA